GCUGCCAAGGCAACGGCGCGCCGCCAUCACGUGGUUGGCCCAUGGGGGGGGGGGGCGCGCCACGGGCCACGUGACUUGGCAGGCCGGGAGGGGAGAGGAGGAGAGGGGAGGGGAGAGGAGGAGAGGGGAGGGGAGAGGAGGGGAGGGAAAGGAAAGGGGGGGGCCUCGCUGCCCCUCCUGGGGGACCCCGGCGGCGUGGACCUACUAGUCAGGACCACCCGGGCCGGAAGCCGGGGAGCGGAAACCGGCAAAAGAUCUGGAGAUCCUUCAAGCCAAGGCCUGCAUCUCGCUCACCAUCAUCCCCACUGCUGAGCCAAGUACACUUAGGAACCCUUCAGAUUAAGCUUUUGGUCCUGUUCAACAAACAUUUGCUAUAUUCUGUGGAAUAAGAAAACUGAAAACUGCCUCAGGACCUGCCCCACAAUGUUCUCUUUACAGAAAUAUAUUAAAAUAUGGUAACUGUAGCUCACUGUAGUCAAGUAUGUGCCAAACAGUAGACAUAAAUGAGCUUCCACAGGGGAGAAGGCGCACCUGUUUCCAGAAACACCACCGAAGGAAAUGCUGCUCUCUCCACUCUCCUUCCAGGCAGCCUGGAGACGGACUGAGUUAUAUUCCUAUUUCCGAAAGUCAACAAAACGUUAACUCAUCUAACUCAACUGAAUAACUGGCUUUUUCCAAAAGACACAUGUCGGAAAAAAAGAAAGGAAACUUGAAGUAGUAACAGUCCUCGACAGGUUCCAAACCAGUGUUUCUGAAGGUAUGGAAGGGGGGACCUGCGGCAGAAGCUGCGGAGGCGGGGUGGGGGGGUGGUGUCUGAAAUGCCUGAGCUGUGAGGAGUCGGCCUCCAGGCCGGGCCAGGCAGUCUGGAUGUCUGAAGUGGACUCUACUGUUGUCUGGGGCAUCACAUCUGCGUCUCCAGCACACACAACUGUGUGCACCUGCUCAGGCUCUUCCUGCCACAGAGGCCGUUUUUCAGUAGGCUCCAUGCCCAGCGUGGCCUGAACUCAUGAUCCUGAGAUCAAGACGUGAGCUGAGAUCAAGCUGGAUGCUUAACCAACUGAGCCACCUCGGCGCCCCUUCAUGUCUAACUCCUGACUCCCCCAAAAUGGAACUACUAAUAGCCUACUGUUGACCAGAAGCCUUACCCAUUACAUAAACAGUCCUUUAACCAUUAUGUAUGUAAUAUGUAUUGCAUAGUGCCUUCCUACAAUAAAGUACAUUUGAAAAAAAGCUAGAUAGAAGAAAAUGUUAUUAAGAAAAUCAGGAAAAUACAUUCACAGUGCUGUACUGUAAAACCCCCACAUGUAUGCAGACCCACGCAGCUCAAAGCCAUGCUAAGGGUCAGCUGUAGCGCCCACACAGUAUGAGGAGCCAGAGGAGGUCCUCACGUCCAUCGGCCCCUCGUGCCACCUCCAGGA